AGCGAACGCUGGCGGCGUGCCUAACACAUGCAAGUCGAGCGAAGGCAUGAGUGUAGCAAUACACUUAUGUACUUAGCGGCGGACGGGUGAGUAACACGUGGAUAACCUGCCCUGGGGACCGGGACAACUCUUGGAAACGGGAGCUAAUACCGGAUGUGACCACGAUGCCUGAGGGCAUUGGGGUAAAAGGGCGGCCUGCAAGGGCUAUUGCCUUGGGAUGAGUUCACGACCCAUCAGGUAGUUGGGGG
rnacentral:rRNA from 1 species